GUCACUCAUUCACACUCAUGCGUGUGCUCCUCCUGCAGUAACUCAUGAAUCCUCCUAGAAAUAAAACCCCAUUUGUUAGAUCUGGUUAGUAUAAACUCCCAUGGAAAUAUACUAGCAAGUAUAUUUAGGACUGUGUAAUUGCACAGUAUCUUUGUUUACUAAUCCACUUCGUUUUCUGGUUUAGAUCAAAGCUAUCCCUCUAAUGAAUAAUGGGGCUGUGAUGUAGGCUAUGCUGAGAUCUCACUGAGCAGACAUGUUUUUACAGUGGUGUUUUUACUCGUAUGAGCAUUUGGCGAAACAUCACAAGUAGUGUUUGCAUGAUGUUUGCCAUCCUAUUUACUAUGGAAGGCAGUUUCAGCCACUGAAAAAUAAAAAAAUAUAUUUUUUCUUUCUCAGAAUUGUGAGAUAUAAAGUCUGAGGAGAAAAAAAGACUACGUUCUCAGAAUUGCGAGUUUAUAACACAAUUAUAAAAAGGAAAAAGCCUGAAUUGUGAGAUGUAGUCAAAAUUGCAAGAAAAAGUGUUCGAUAAGUGAAGGAAACUGUCUUCCAUUAUGAGACAGAGUAAUUUAAUGUUUUAGCAUUCAUUUAAUUGCAUGUAUUUUUAUUAUCGUUAUCGUCUUUGGUGCAUCAUUAUUUUUAAUCAGUUCUUUUUUUUCUUUUUGAAUACCAUAGUUUAUAUAAAAAUAAUGCAAUAUAAAACUUUGAUUUAUCCUUGCAUAAUCAUAUACUGAGCAUAAGCUUCUACAUUUCUGUUUCUAGGUCACUAAUCGAAGCAGAUUUGUGACACUGAUCAUGUGAAAUACUUGGUACAGAGGGUCAGAUGCUCUUUGGAUCAUUUUCAAAUCAUGCUGAAGAACAAGAUCAUCAGAAGUUCAUGUGGGUUGAGUGCUAAAGCAUAAGAAAACAUGGCAAACAAUCUCUGAAAUUUAAGGGUCCCAGAGCCUGACCUUAACCCCAUAGAAAAUCGAUGGGGUAUUGUGAAGAGGAAGAGCUGAAGGCCACUAUCAGAGCAACCUGGGCUCUCAUAACACCUGAGCAGUGCCACAGACUGAUCGACUCCAUGCCACGCCGCAUUUCUGCAGUAAUUCAGGCAAAAGGAGCCCCAACUAAGUAUUGAGUGCUGUACAUGCUCAAACUUUUCAUGUUCAUAGUUAUCCAUUGGCCAAGAUUUCUAAAAAUAAUUUCUUUGUAUUGGUCUGAAGUAAUAUUCAAAUUUUCUGAGGUACUGAAUUUGGAAUUUUCCUUCGUUGUCAGUUAUAAUCCUCAAAAUGAAAUAAAUAAACAUUUGAAAUAUA